rnacentral:rRNA from 1 species
GACGAACCGUCCGAACGUUAUUCGGAAUUAUUGGGCUUAAAGGGUGCGUAGGCGGCCUUGUAAGUCGGGUGUGAAAUCCCACGGCUCAACCGUGGAACUGCGCCCGAUACUGCAUGGCUUGAGGGAGACAGAGGUAAGCGGAACUGAUGGUGGAGCGGUGAAAUGCGUUGAUAUCAUCAGGAACACCGGUGGCGAAAGCGGCUUACUGGGUCUCUUCUGACGCUGAGGCACGAAAGCUAGGGUAGCGAACGGGAUUAGAAACCCCCGUAGUCC